AGUUUUGAUCCGGAUAUAAAAGAUGGUAACUUUAUCUCGAAUCUCAAUUCUGUAACGUUCUCUUUCAUUCUCAAAAUGAGGACUUUCUAUCUCAUAGUUGCAUUUACUGUGGCGUUGUUUUUCUUUUCUGUGAGUGGUUCGCCGGUGAAUUCUACAACAACAGCUGUACCAGAAUAUGACGAACUGGAGUUCGUGAAAAUUUCUAAUAUUGUGAACGUUCCUUGUAGAAAAGGAUUUCGGAGGAUUCGCAACAAGUGCCGACCUACUUCUUGAAUAUUUUUUUAACAAAUGGUGAUGAUGAUGACGGCAAGGUUUUGCUAAUGUUGACGUUAUGAAAUAAUGCACUUCUAUAGAUUUUCUUGAUUAGCAUAAUUAUAGACGCAAAAUUCUUUACUUUUCGUCAAUCAAGUUGGUAUAAUCAGUAAAUGAUUGUACCUACCUAUCUAAAAAUAAAAAGAUAUUUUUAUAUUUCACAGGAAUUGACAAAUCAUCAUUGACUGUUGAUUUGAAUUCAUAAUGAAUUUUGUUUAUGCAAUGGUUUUGUUCUUGUUCUAUAAUUUUCAAUACAGUUUUUCCUUCGA